rnacentral:rRNA from 1 species
GAUGAACGCUGGCGGCGUGCCUAAUACAUGCAAGUCGAGCGAACGGACGAGAAGCUUGCUUCUCUGAUGUUAGCGGCGGACGGGUGAGUAACACGUGGAUAACCUACCUAUAAGACUGGGAUAACUUCGGGAAACCGGAGCUAAUACCGGAUAAUAUUUUGAACCGCAUGGUUCAAAAGUGAAAGACGGUCUUGCUGUCACUUAUAGAUGGAUCCGCGCUGCAUUAGCUAGUUGGUGAGGUAACGGCUUACCAAGGCAACGAUGCAUAGCCGACCUGAGAGGGUGAUCGGCCACACUGGAACUGAGACACGGUCCAGACUCCUACGGGAGGCAGCAGUAGGGAAUCUUCCGCAAUGGGCGAAAGCCUGACGGAGCAACGCCGCGUGAGUGAUGAAGGUCUUCGGAUCGUAAAACUCUGUUAUUAGGGAAGAACAUAUGUGUAAGUAACUGUGCACAUCUUGACGGUACCUAAUCAGAAAGCCACGGCUAACUACGUGCCAGCAGCCGCGGUAAUACGUAGGUGGCAAGCGUUAUCCGGAAUUAUUGGGCGUAAAGCGCGCGUAGGCGGUUUUUUAAGUCUGAUGUGAAAGCCCACGGCUCAACCGUGGAGGGUCAUUGGAAACUGGAAAACUUGAGUGCAGAAGAGGAAAGUGGAAUUCCAUGUGUAGCGGUGAAAUGCGCAGAGAUAUGGAGGAACACCAGUGGCGAAGGCGACUUUCUGGUCUGUAACUGACGCUGAUGUGCGAAAGCGUGGGGAUCAAACAGGAUUAGAUACCCUGGUAGUCCACGCCGUAAACGAUGAGUGCUAAGUGUUAGGGGGUUUCCGCCCCUUAGUGCUGCAGCUAACGCAUUAAGCACUCCGCCUGGGGAGUACGACCGCAAGGUUGAAACUCAAAGGAAUUGACGGGGACCCGCACAAGCGGUGGAGCAUGUGGUUUAAUUCGAAGCAACGCGAAGAACCUUACCAAAUCUUGACAUCCUUUGACAACUCUAGAGAUAGAGCCUUCCCCUUCGGGGGACAAAGUGACAGGUGGUGCAUGGUUGUCGUCAGCUCGUGUCGUGAGAUGUUGGGUUAAGUCCCGCAACGAGCGCAACCCUUAAGCUUAGUUGCCAUCAUUAAGUUGGGCACUCUAAGUUGACUGCCGGUGACAAACCGGAGGAAGGUGGGGAUGACGUCAAAUCAUCAUGCCCCUUAUGAUUUGGGCUACACACGUGCUACAAUGGACAAUACAAAGGGCAGCGAAACCGCGAGGUCAAGCAAAUCCCAUAAAGUUGUUCUCAGUUCGGAUUGUAGUCUGCAACUCGACUACAUGAAGCUGGAAUCGCUAGUAAUCGUAGAUCAGCAUGCUACGGUGAAUACGUUCCCGGGUCU